AAAGACGGGCCCAGGCCGGGGUGUUACAUUCUGGAGUUACAGACUGUGCCAGCCUUACUCGAAAGCCUCAAAUAUUUCUGAGACACGUAUACACGCACAUGAAUUUACACCAACCUCAAUUUCUAAUAACUAGCUCAGACCUUUGAUGCACCGUCUCAAGAAUUAUAACAUAUUUUUUCCAAAGUCCAGCUAUACUGAGCACUGGCUACAGUGCAGUUUACCAGCGUACAUUGUCUAAUUAUGCACAAUGCUAUCUCAUAACUACCGUAACUGUGGGCUAAUUCCAGAUUUCUGUCAACAAAGCAAUGUAACGAAGUGCAGGUUUGUGCUUGUUUUGUAUCAUACCCUUGAACUGCCCUUAUAUGUGAUGGCAAUAAAGAUCAAUUAGCCAUAAUGGAGACCUUGCACAUCUCUACAAGCUG
rnacentral:lncRNA from 1 species